CCCUUCUGACCUUAAUGUCUAUGAGUCUAUGAGAUCUGAAGUAUACCUUGACCUGGGGUAAGUGACUGGCUGUCUUGGGCUGGGAGUAAUCAAACGUGUGAUGGUUUCUGGUUUUAAUAACCUUUCAUAAUUAAGUCCAGUUUGCCUGAAUGGUAAUAUAGGCUGAAGUGUCUGGGGACUGACUGUGGAUCCAUGGUAAGCUAGUAUAACGAUCCAGCAGCAUACAGUUGUUGCUGGUUUUAUUAAAUCUAAUUAUAGAAUAUACCUCCAGUUUGGGGGUGUCUACCCUGUUUUCUGAGAGUCUGACCUGAAAUGGUCUCAGCUGUGACCCAUUCUGGACAUCCUGACAGUGUUAAGUAAGUUAAGUUGCAUGCUAUUUUUCACACCUGGGUGGUGGGUUAGGUGCAUAUUUUCCUUAUGCAAAAUGCAUCUUUGCUUUCCUUUCAGUGCUCAGCUCAUGGCCCAUCUUUGUGUUGCUUAAACACAUGGUAGCAGUGGAGGUGGAGACUGGCACUUUUCAAUACUAUACCAGGGAUGUAAGAUGACAAACAGGAUUACUGGUGACUCCAAGCAGUGCCCAUGGAGGAGGGUAAGGAGUUCACGGACAUGAAGAUUGCAACACAGCUCUGCUGAACCAAGCAUUGUACUUGGCCUCCUGAGUGAUGGCAUAGUGGGCCGUGAAUGCGUGCAUGGAGGACCACGUUGCAGCUUUACAGAUGUCCGGGAUCGGAAUGUGUGCCAAGCGGCCGCCAAGGAUGCCUGCGCUCUAGUCAAGUGGGCUCUAAUGAUCGGCAGUGGCGGGGUCCCUGCCAGCUCGUAAAAAGCCCUUAUGGCAAGAGGUGAUCCAGUUAGAAAUCCUCUGCGUGAACACCAGGAGGCCCUUCAUCCUAUCAGCUUUAGAGAUGAAAAGCUGAUUCGAUCUAUGGAAAGGCUUUGUCCGAUCUAGGUAGAAAGCCAGGGUCCUUCUUAUGUCCAAAGCAUGGAGGUCUCUCUCUUCACUAGCCUCAUGGGGCUUAGGGCAGAAGACCAGAAGGAAGAGGUCCUGGCACAUGUGGAAAGCGGACACCACCUUGGGAAGGAAAGCCGGGUGGGGCCAGAGCUGGACCUUGUCCUUAUAGAAGACCGAGUACAGCGGUUCUGAGGUCAGGACACGCAGCACGGAAACUCGCCUUGCCGAUGUCACUGCCACCAGGAAAGCUAUCUUCCACGAUAGGUGAGAUAGGGAGUGCGAGGCCAACGGCUCAAAGGGUGGGCCUGUGAGCCUAGACAGAACCAAGUUGAGAUCCCACUGAGGGACCAAACUUGAGGAAAAAGUCUCUCGAGACCUCUGAGGAACCUGACCGUCACUUCAUGGGAGAACACUGUCUGCCCCUGGACGGGCAGAUUAAAGGCGGAGUUGGCCGCCAGAUGCACCUUGAUAGAGGAGUGUGCCAGGCCCCUGGUUCCUCAAAUUAAGCAGGUAGUCUAAGAUUGACUGAACCAAAGAAUGCAAAGGGGAGAUGCCCCGUUCGGUUACCCAGUGGGAAAACUUCAUCCACUUUGCCAGGUAGGUCUGUCUAAUGGAGGGUUUUCUACUUCCCAGGAGGACCUGCUGGACCCCCUCCGAACAGGUCCAUUCCUCAGGGUUCAGCCACGCAGUAUCCACAACGCAAGCUGGAGAGACGUGAGGAUGGGGUGCAAGAGGUGACUGUGGUCCUGUGACAGCAGGAUCUUGCUGAUGAGCAGAAUCAGAGGGAACACGUACAUCAGGCUUCCUGCCCACGGCAGGAGGAAGGCAUUGGAGAGGGAGCCCUUGCCCAGACCCUAUCUGGAGCAGAACUUGUGGCACUUCAUGUUCUGCCUGAUGGCAAACAAAUCCUCUUGGGGAGAUCCCCACCUCUGGAAGGUCAGGCUGGCUACCUGCAGGUGGCGCACCCACUCGUGGUGAGAGGAGAAGUCCCUGCUUCGAUGAUCUGCUAGCAUGUUCCUGGCACCCGGAAGGUGACACGCUUCUAGAUGGAUUGCGUGGCUGAUGCAGAAUUCCCAGAGACGGAGUGCAUCUUGGCAGAGGGCCGAGGAUCGUUCUCCGCCUUGCCUGUUGAUGUAGAACAUCGAGGCUGUGUUGUCUGUGAGGACUCUGACCACUUUACCCAACAGGUGAGGUAGGAAGACUUGCGCAUGCACUGUGCACUACCCUGAGUUCUUUGACAUUUAUGUGUAGCGUCGAUUCCCCUGGGGACCACAUACCUUGGUUUGGAGGGUGCCGAGGUGCGCCCCCCAGCUGAGGUCUGAGGCAUCCGAAACCAACUCAACUGAGUGAGGAGUGCUGAUGAAGGAAACACCUUCCAGGAUUUUCCCGGGGUUGGCCCACCAUUGCAGCAAGGUAAGUACCAUUGCAGGGAUGGUAACCACAUUCUCAAGGUGGUCCCUGGACUGGGAGUAGACCGUUGCCAGCCAUUGCUUCAGGCAUCGCAUAUGUACACGCUGCCAUGUGACCUAGUAGGUGCAGGCAAACUUGGACGUGGUCAGGGGAAAUGCGGAGACUUCCAUGAUAAGGUCAGUCAGUCUCCUGAAUCUCUCGAGUGGCAGGGAUGCUCUGGCAGAGGUUGAGUCGAGCACCGCUCCGAUGAAGUCUAUCCUCUGUACCGGAACCAACGUGGAUUUUUUGUCGUUCACCAACAGACCGAGGCAAAGGUACAUGGCCAGUAGCACCACAUCCCCUUGGACCUGAAGUUGCCCUUGACAAGCCAGUCGUCAGGGACAGGUAUAUCUGGAUACCCCCGACAUCUGAGGUAAGCCACCACCAUCCACGUGCACUUGGUAAAUACCCGCGGUGCUGUCAGUAGGCCAAAUGGAAGGACUGUGAACUGAUGGUGGUUGAGACCUACUGUGAACCAGAGGAAGCAUCUGCGUCCCUCGAAGAUGGCAAUGUGAAAGUACACAUCUUUCAGACCGAAGGCGGCAUACCAGUCUCCCAGAUCCAGGGAGGGGAUGAUGGAGGCCAGGGAGGCCAUGCGUAACUUCAUUUUCACUAAGGAGCAGUUCAAGCCUCAUAGGUCUACUAUGGGCCGCAGUCCACCCUUGGCUUUGGGGAUUAAAAAGUAUCGGGAAUAGAAUCCCUUGUUCUAUACUCCACAGGAACUACCUCCACUGCACCCAGCGGCAGUAGACCAUCUACCUCCUGCGUGAAAAGGUUCUCAUGAGAAGGGUCCCUGAAGAGGGAUGGGGAGAUGGGUUGGGAAGGGGGGCAGGGGUAGAAAGUAACUGAAGAGUGUAACCCUGUGCCACCAUAUUGAGGACCCAUCGGUUCGAUGUUAUAGACGCCCACACAGGGCGUAGGGAAGUAAGGUGAUUGGUAAAUAGAGGGGAGGAAGGAUCUGGGGAACAGUCUGGUAGGUCACCCUCGGGUGUAACCUCAAAACAGGCGCUUGCCUGUCUGCUUACUGCGGGUUGAGCCCGACUAGGAUGUAGAUGGGGGUUGGUGGCCAGGGCGCCUCUUGUAGCCCCUGGAUUUUUUGGUGGGGAAGCUCCUGGCAAGGGCAGCUCCCCUGGCUAUGAGGUUGCUACAGCUUAAACUGCUUGCAGGAAGGGCCGGGGAUGUACAGGCACAGUGUUUUCAGGAUCGUGCGGGAAUCUUUCAAGCCAUGGAGUUUAUUGUCCGUCUGUUCUGCGAACAGGGCCUGCCUGUCAAAAGGGAGGUGUUGCAUUGACUGCUGAGCCUCUGAGGAAAGACCAGAGAGGAGCAGCCAACCAGAUGGCUGAUGCUAUGGUAUGGGCAGUGGUGUCCACCGCGUCUGACGCUGCCUAGAGAGCUGCUCUGGCUGCAGUCGAGCUGUCAUCCAGGAUCACCCGGAACUCCUUCCUAGAAGCCUCAGGAAGGGCGCUCUCCAACUUGGUCAUGGCCUGCCACAUAUUAAAAUCAUAGCAGCCUAGUAAGGCCUGAUGGUUGGCCACCGGCCACUGUUGACUGGAGGAUGAAUCAACUUUAUGCCCACACAAGUCUAGUCUCCUUGAGUCUUCACUCUUAGGAGUAGCCCCAGAUUGACCCUGUCUCUCCCUGUAGUUGACUGGCUCUACCACUAAGGAAUUGGGAGCAGGAUGGGUAUAAACGAAUUCAUGACCCUUGAAUGGCAUGAAGUACUUGCGCUCUGCCCUCUUGGAGAUUGG